UACAGAGGGUGCUAGCGUUGUUCGGAAUUACUGGGCGUAAAGGGCGCGUAGGCGGUAUAGUAAGUUAUUUGUGAAAUCCCUGAGCUUAACUUAGGAAGUGCAAGUGAUACUGCUAUGCUAGAGUGCGAGAGAGGAAAAGUAGAAUUCCCAGUGUAGAGGUGAAAUUCGUAGAGAUUGGGAGGAAUACCGGAGGCGAAGGCGGCUUUCUGGCUCGCAACUGACGCUGAGGCGCGAAAGCGUGGGGAGCAAACAGGG
rnacentral:rRNA from 1 species